UACGUAGGGUGCAAGCGUUAAUCGGAAUUACUGGGCGUAAAGCGUGCGCAGGCGGUCUUGCAAGACAGGUGUGAAAUCCCCGGGCUUAACCUGGGAACUGCGACUUGUGACUGCAAGGCUGGAGUGCGGCAGAGGGAGAUGGAAUUCCGCGUGUAGCAGUGAAAUGCGUAGAUAAUGCGGAGGAACACCGAUGGCGAAGGGCAAUCCCCUGG
rnacentral:rRNA from 1 species